GUCCUCUUCGUUCUCAGUCGGCUUGCGUGUGGCCCAUUCCACGACAACUUGGAUGCAUCGAUCAGGACGUAUUGGGGGUGGGGGGCAAACGCAGUCAUUCGACCGCUUUAAUACUCGUGUCUUUGUGAUGAGAACCGCGGCUCUCGUCACUCUGCGCUUUUUCUCCGCUGCAUUCAAGGCAGCUGACAAUGUGACAUAAGUGCUCUAUAGAAUCGUCUGGCUUUAUGCUGUUUUCACUGUCUGUUCGGCAGAAAAAGGCCGAACCCUGCAGUUUUCAGAAAGAAAAAAAAUCUCGAAAAAAAUCAAAUUGUGUAAGCAAGUUAUUGUGCUGCCUACUUCCUGAAACGAGUCUGCACAUGCACAAAAAGAUGAGAAAGCAAGAGGGAGCAUUUGUGUGUGUGAAUUUAGACUAAAAUGAAUCAAAUGACUUUCAUCUGAAGAAAACUACAUUGAUCGGUUUACAUGAGACGUUUGAGAGAACCCGGAAAUCUCAGGGUGCGCAGGGAAUUGCCUGUUUUAGCCUCAUGGAAAGUCUGCCCCUGGCACUAAUUUUAGCAUGUGUUUGCAUAGCCACUGCAGUCAGCUGCUGUUUAAAUUAGAAAUAUUGGAAUGACCACUGCCCUUCCGCUUUGUGGACGUACAGUAUAGCACACAGUCUACGUCUGCCCUCUUAAAUCUAUUUAACUUGAUUAAAUGGCUGGUGUAUUUGUCAGAAGAUGACCCCACUGGCCAUAUUUGUAAUUGUCAUCACAACCCGGGGGCACGUGUCUCCUCCACUUAGCCAACGGGAGGAGCAGACUACACGGUUCUGGUCAUGAUGACUUGUACCAAAUAGACAAACCCAAACAUCUCAUGUUUUGGCAGUGGGUUCACUGAAGGACUUCCAACCACCGUUUGUCAAGGGAGAUCGGGGACCUGCUCUCGGAAUAACCUGCGCUUCAUGUGUACUUCUGGUGAAGGAGUUCGCUAAGCAGCUGCGGCGGCCUCAUGGCGCAACAAAUAAACACGGGGAGCCGAUAGAAAACAGAACAGAGGGUUAAAGUGGCCCCUUGAUUGCGGCCACUCUCUCGAUCUGCAUUUAUUCGGCUGCAAAUGUCGAUUUAAAAGUGAACAACCGGUAGAGGAUUGAACAAAUCAAGAAAGAGCAGAUGUCCGUUCGUAUCUGAUCCUUAUCAUUUAUUCAUCCGUUAACCCAUGUGACGAAUUGAAUGUUUUGUUUUCAUGGGCGCCAUUUAUGUGAGCCAUAACUUGCUUUCAUAAUCACACCUAAUGUCAAGUGUCAUAAGUGUGUCUCAAUGUUGCUCCACAUUCUAUUGUUCAUUAUUUGAACAUUUGACAUUGCCACUGAUUGGGGAAAAAAAAGUCCCUGUUGUCAGAACAUUCAUUUUAAAAGCCUUCCCUCUGCUGCCAUCAUGUGGCCAAAAAGUAGAAUGGCUAGCGCACCGUAGACGCAACCGUAAAUAUUUCUACUUGCCACCAAAAA